GCCCAGGUAGCUCAGUGGCAGAGCACCCCCUUGGUAAGGGGGAGGUCGUGAGUUCAAUCCUCAUCCUGGGCU
rnacentral:tRNA from 1 species